GAUCAUGGCUCAGGAUGAACGCUAGCGACAGGCUUAACACACGCAAGUCGAGGGGCAGCACAGGUAGCAAUACCGGGUGGCGACCGGCGCACGGGUGAGUAACGCGUAUGCAACUGGCCUAUCAGAGGGGGAUAACCCGGCGAAAGUCGGACUAAUACCGCAUGAAGCAGGGGUCCCGCAUGGGGAUAUUUGCUAAAGAUUCAUCGCUGAUAGAUAGGCAUGCGUUCCAUUAGG
rnacentral:rRNA from 1 species